rnacentral:rRNA from 1 species
UACGGGGGGAGCAAGCGUUGUUCGGAUUUACUGGGUUUAGAGGGUGUGUAGGCGGGCUAUUAAGUCAGCGGUGAAAUCUUCGGGCUCAACCCGGAAACUGCCAUUGAUACUAUUAGUCUUGAAUACUGUGGAGGUAUGCGGAAUGUGUCAUGUAGCGGUGAAAUGCUUAGAGAUGACACAGAACACCGAUUGCGAAGGCAGCGUACUACACAGUGAUUGACGCUGAGGCACGAAAGCGUGGGGAUCAAACAGG